GACGAACGCUGGCGGCGUGCUUAACACAUGCAAGUCGAACGAAGUGGCGAACGGGUGAGUAACGCGUAAUCAACCUGCCUUUCAGAGGGGGAAAACAGUUGGAAACGACUGCUAAUACCGCAUACUGAAGGAGGGGAUUGCGUCUGAUUAGCUAGUUGGAGGGGUAACGGCCCACCGAGGCGAUGAUCAGUAGCCGGUCUGAGAGGAUGAACGGCCACAUUGGGACUGAGACACGGCCCAGACGCCUACUGGAGGCAGCAGUGGGGAAUUUUUCGAAAUGGACGAAAGUCUGACGGAGCAACGCCGCGGUGGCGAUGACGGCCUUUGGGUUGUAAAGCUCUGUUAAUCGGGACGCGGUACCGGAAUAGAAAGCCACGGCUAACUACGUGCCAGCAGCCGCGGUAAUUC
rnacentral:rRNA from 1 species